rnacentral:lncRNA from 1 species
CGCAGUUCCCAGUAGGUUUCAUUGGUAACCCAGGCUUCUCUUUGAUUAGCAUCGAUAACUUUUUUAAAAAACUUGGGUACAUAUUCAAUGCUGUUUUCUUCCAUGUACCGCCUCCGACUUCUCUGGAGUUCUUCUAUUCUUUGUUUCUCUGAUGCUGCUGCUUCUAUAUUUCCUUCCUCCAGAAGCCUUUGAUCCGGCCUGAAUCGUGCAUCUGUUGUUGGAAGAAGAUC